rnacentral:rRNA from 1 species
AAAUUAUUUAAAACUUUCAACAACGGAUCUCUUGGUUCCGGCAUCGAUGAAGAACGCAGCGAAAUGCGAUACGUAAUGUGAAUUGCAAAUUCAGUGAAUCAUCGAGUCUUUGAACGCACAUUGCGCCCCCUGGUAUUCCGGGGGGCAUGCCUGUCCGAGCGUCAUU